AGAGUUUGAUCAUGGCUCAGGACGAACGCUGGCGGCGUGCCUAACACAUGCAAGUUGAGCGACGAACCAGGGCUUGCCCUGGGGCAAAGCAGCGAACGGGUGAGUAACACGUGGGUAACCUGCCCCGAUGACCGGGACAACCCGAGGAAACUCGGGCUAAUACCGGAUGUGUCCCCUGGACCCAAGUCCAGUGGGCAAAGGAAGCUUCGGCCUCCGCAUUGGGAGGGGCCCGCGGCCCAUUAGCUUGUUGGUGAGGUAAGAGCUCACCAAGGCAACGAUGGGUAGCUGGUCUGAGAGGACGAUCAGCCACACUGGGACUGAGACACGGCCCAGACUCCUACGGGAGGCAGCAGUGGGGAAUCUUGCGCAAUGCGCGAAAGCGUGACGCAGCAACGCCGCGUGGGGGAAGAAGGCCCUCGGGUUGUAAACCCCUUUCAGGAGGGACGAAGGUGCGACGGUGAAUAGCCGCUCGCACUGACGGUACCUCCAGAAGAAGCCCCGGCUAACUACGUGCCAGCAGCGGCGGUAAUUC
rnacentral:rRNA from 1 species